GGCAAUCCAUUUCCUUGAUAUUUUCCUCAAAGCGAUGAGCCUGAGGCACGCGAGCAGGGUGCUGCUGAGGGCGGCGCAGGCCGUCGCGAGCAUACGAGUUUGUUCAUGGGCAUGUAAGCGUGCAUAUGUCAAAUUAGGAUGGUAUUGUAUCAUCAGUGAACACUUGUUCUCUUUUCCUUUCGUAAAUUAUUAAGAGUGCGCCUAGGUCUUAAUCGACUGAGAUUUAAUCAAGUCUCAGUCAAGUGACAUAACAUGCAAAAAAGAAAACGAAAAAACUGAAGAAAAUAAAUUACACAGAUCUCAAUGUAAGAUUUUACAAAUAUAACAUCGAUUGAGACUUCGUCGACGUUUUUAGUCGACUGAGACUUUAUGAAGUCUGAAUUAUUAAUCUUUUUUUUGAGGGACUGAAUUAUUAAUCUUGCCCGUGAUAUGCAACCCUAAACACAUGUUGUUUGAUGACUGUUUUUUUUUUGCAGGAUGUUUGAUGACUGUUUGAAUGCUCAGUGGACCGGUAGAAACAGAGGAUUCUGAAUACUCCUGCCUGUUAGUAGGAAGCGUGCUGUACAUCGAAGUGGCUGAAAAUGUGCUAGACUAAUGAGGGUUUUUCAAAAAAAAAAACAUAUGGUAGACUGUUGUAUCUUGUCUAAAUUUCUUUCCAACAAUAAGCUGAACAGCCGCUGAAUUA
rnacentral:lncRNA from 1 species